CUGCAUUUAAUGAAAAUGUAUCUACCUUUAUUUUUUGUGUGAUGUGAUAACAGAUGGAGAAAAUUUCCUUGGGAUGGAAGUAGGCAAGGAAAUGGAAUUGUAUGCAGAAGGCAGUAAAGGAGUAAUGAAGAGCAUCGUCCACCCAGCGUUCAACUCCUACAAGAUGGACAUCGAGGAACGCCGUGAUGUCUCCAGUGCAGCGCAGCAGGAGGCUGUUUGAGAUCCUGCUGUCCCACAGGAGAUUUGGAGCUUUAAAGAGGAAGGAAAUAAAUUAUCC
rnacentral:lncRNA from 1 species